rnacentral:snRNA from 1 species
ACUCAGGAUGGUUUCUUCUAGUGCCAUCCAUUUGCCUACCAGGAUUGAUUCGGCUGAUCUGGCUGACUAGGUGGGUGUCCCCUUUCUCCCUCACGGCUAUGUGUGUUCCUCCCGAAACUGAACGCUUGGUCGAAGAGGAUGACCUUCCGGGAAUAGAGAAGGACGGGUCUUCUGUCAAGGUAUAAAAGUAGCUGCACUCCCCUGCUAAAACCUCCAAACAAGCUCUCAAGGAAGUCAUUUUCUAAGACAUCCAGGAGUUUGUAUUUUGUGGUAUAACAAUUAAUAUUGUCAACCUGACAAGAUCU